GGGCUGAUAGCUCAGGUGGUUAGAGCGCACGCCUGAUAAGCGUGAGGUCGGUGGUUCGAGUCCACUUCGGCCCACCA
rnacentral:tRNA from 1 species